CUCAAACUAUAUUUAGCAUUAGUUAGACCUCAUCUUGACUAUGCGGUUCAGUUCUGGUCACCCUACUAUAGAAUGGAUAUCAAAAUGUUAGAAUCGGUGCAGAGGAGGAUGACUAAGAUGAUUCAGGGGUUGAGAAACUUGCCAUACGAGGAAAGACUCAAACAGUUAAACUUGCAUUCUCUAGAAAGGCGAAGGGUGCGUGGAGACAUGAUCGAGGUUUAUAAAUGGAUGAAGUGCUUUAAUAAGGGAGACAUUCAUAAGGUUUUGUUGGUAAGAGAACCGGGUAGGACACGAAGUAAUGGGUUUAAACUGGAUAAAUUCAGAUUCAACAGGGACAUAGGCAAAAAUUGGUUUACUAACAGGGUGGUGGAUGAGUGGAAUAGGCUUAGCAGUCAUGUGGUGAGUGCCAAUACAAUUGUCACAUUCAAAAAUAGACUAGAUAAAUUCAUGGACAGCGAUAUUAG